GACGAACGCUGGCGGCGUGCCUAACACAUGCAAGUCAACUUGACUGAAGGAGCAAUCUGACAGUAGAGUGGCGCAAGGGUGCGUAACGCGUAAGUAACUUGCCCAAGGUAAGGAAUAACGUCGAGAAAUCGGCGCUAAUACCUCAUAAUGCAGCGGAUCCGCAUGGAUAUGUUGUUAAAGGUUUACCGCCUUGGGAUAGGCUUGCGUCUGAUUAGCUAGUUGGUGUGGUAACGGCACACCAAGGCUACGAUCAGUAACUGGUCUGAGAGGAUGAUCAGUCACACUGGAACUGAGACACGGUCCAGACUCCUACGGGAGGCAGCAGUGAGGAAUAUUGGGCAAUGCUCGAAAGAGUGACCCAGCAACGCCGCGUGGAGGAUGAAGGUA
rnacentral:rRNA from 1 species